CUUGCCUGUAAUGUCACGUGAAUGUGACAUCCACAUGUACCGAUACAUACAGUGCCACACACAAACACUGACACACAUGCACAGAUACAUAAACUGACACAUACAAACAUUGACACACAUGUAGAGACAUACACUGACACACAUGCAGAAACAUGGCCCAAUGUGUCUCAGUGUGACUGUAUGGAUGUCCCUGACAUAUGGCUGUCUGUCACACACUGCUCUGGGCACAGCUCUGGAUACGCUCACACACGGUCUGCUGUCACCAGGCACACUGGGGACAGACAGGGGAUCACAUCCACCAGGGCAGGGAGCUCUAUGACCCUGCUCACAGCCUGCUAGCAGGCACCUAGAGCCCAG